UUGUCCCAGUUCUUCUUUUGAGGGACGUUUUGAGGAGAUCCUUCAUCCAUUGAGGGAGAUGUUUUCUUUCUGGGAAAUGAUUUUGACUACUUUUCAAUGGUUUUUCUUCAAAAUUCUUUGUGUCCUAUCCAUUACAGGUAGAAAGCCAUCAACUAAAAAUGGAAUCAUUUACUUUUAAAGUAAAAAAUAUUUCCAAAUCAGUGUGGAGAAACAUAUAACUACUAAAUAUUUCAAGUAGUUUAGAAGAUGACACUCCAUUCUAGGCAAUUUUAUAAUAUCAAAGAUGACUACUGUGGAAGGGCAUUUAUUCAGUGAAAAGUAGUAGAAAAUAAUUCAUCUCAGAUAAAGAAUUUAGCCCCACCACUAACCAAGUUAGUAAAUAUACAGAAUGAGGGAUUUAGAAUUACACAUCCAUUUGAAAAUAGAAAAUUAAGAAAUCUGGUGCCCAUGUAAUUUAUCUUAAUAAAAUGCAUUUUCCCCAUAUAGCUAUUUAUACCUAAAACGAUUGGGAUAUACUUUGGCAAGGAUAAAAGGCAUAGCUAGUGGCAUAUCAUAUCACUGCAUGGAGGCUAGCAAUUAGAAUGUAGCCAGACAAAAUCACAAGGGGGUCUAUAAAUAAAUAAAAGAAAGCCUUAAUGUGAUUUAAAUACCGUGACUGAGUUGUAUUCAGUGACAGCCUGGUCACCAAGUACAGUGCGACAUCAUGCUCUAUAGAGAUGGAUUCCAGCAAAAGACUUCUCCAUCAGCCAUCUGGCCCCUGACUCUCUAAGUCCAGCUUACUGAAUGACACGUAACCCAGUGGGAUGCACCAAAUUUGCUUAAGCAUAAGCACAUCAUCUUCUCAUAACAAAAGCUUGAAUAUGACCCUAAUUUUAGUUACAUGAAAUAUCUUGAGGAUAUUAAUAAAAACAAGGUAAUAUCAAGGUACUACACAUAUUACCCAUAAGGCUCAUUGUUACUGUUUUUUAAGAAAUCCAAUCAGACAAUUUAAUUUAAAUAUCAAUUUUAGCUUAAAUUUGAGAGGGCAGAAAGUUCAACUUUAAAAUUUACUUUUAAAGGAAAGGGGGGGAAAGGACCUAGCCUUCUGUUUCUCUCUUGGUAUCAUUAAAAACUCCAGUCUAACUUUUUCAUCAAAUUCCUGAGCCUCAGAAUUUUUCUGUUCACUAGAUCUUAGGAAAUCUAUGGGAAAAAUGUAGUGCAUGAACUCAUAUUUUGGAGUAAUUUCUGCCCUUCCUCUGUCUUCCUUGUUUUUUUCCAGAAGUUUCAAGCAUAUUCUAUAAUAAAGGUGAAGAACAAAGAAAGUUAAUUGUAUUACUCUCUGCCAGUCUUCCUAAAGCUCUUUAAGAGCUACUAUUUCUGUUUUUUUUUGGUUGUUGUUGUUAUUUGUGAAUUCUUUUUCUGUUUCCACAAAGGCAUAUAUUGCUAGAUAUGAGUUUAAUAAUUAAAAGAAAAGCAUGCCAGAACAUCUCUUUAGUUGACCUUUGACAUUAUAUAGUUUCUUAGUUUAUGUUAAGCAACUCAGUUUAAUUACAUUUUAUGUGAGUACCCAAGAGUGUGCUAAAGCUAGCUUUUGCUAUCUCAGAAGAGCCUCUUGUUAAAAUUUUAGUGUGACUUGAAAAUCAACAGACUUGUUUAUUCCCAAGGAGUGUAGUAGAGGUUCUACUUAACUCGGGAAAGCUGAUUAUUAAAAUUUCAUUAUUACCUUUUACACCUUGGAAGUUAACAAAUUUAAAAAUCAGGGUUUGAUAUAUCUAUUUUGGUUGUCUUGACUUAAGAAAAUAAUGGAGAAAGUGUUAAUACUAGAGGUGAAGCUUAAAAGUGUGUCCUCUGUAUAUGUAUGUACAUGUUUUAUUUUUGCCAGCAUACCCCUGAUUAUAACAAGUUUCCUAAAAGGUAGGUAGUUUCUCAGCAGAUUUCUAGGAGUUCUCAAUCAUAAUGAUGCUAUUUCUGACAUAGAUGGUAGUACUUAGAAUUUGGUUUGGAAAGCAAAGCUUAAAAAAAUAUUGUUCACUAAUUGAAUAUAAAGAAGCAUUAAGUAUUUCUAGUGGUAAAAAUCAGAAAGGAUCCUCACAGGAGAUCUGUGAAAGAUGAGAAAACUGAAAAGCAUGCUCUAGAUAAAGGCUCAGAAAAAAGGACAAAAGAAAGAAAUAUACUUACCUUUGUAAAAGUAGUAAUGAAGAUUGAGGAUGGUAUGAAAUAAGCAUUUCACAUAGCUUUUUCUUUAGCUUCAUUUUUAGGGUGAAUUAGUAUAUCAAAUUAAGAUGAUAUCAAGGAUGAUAAAUAAAUAGCUGGUGAAGAGUAUACUUGUUCCAGAUUUGUGAAAAUAGAGCUCUGGCCUACUUCAUUCAAGCUUAGUUGUUUUCAAGACUGGAUUUUGAUGACUUGUCUAAUAUUUUGUUCAAGGAAUUAACCCAAAUUGUUACACAAUUGUAUAACAAUCAACUAUCAGUUUUGCGAGUUAAUAAAAUGACUUAAAAGACUAACAAUAAAUAUAACUGUUUGCAUGUUUUAGAAGGCUGGAGUUUACAGACUUAAAGCUAGGAAAAUCAUAGACUAAAAAAAUCAUUUGUAAACAUCUAGAAGAAAGGAUAAUAUAGGGGCAGCUAGAUGGUGCAUUGGACAGAGUGUCAACCCUGAAGUCAGAAGACCUAAGUUCAAUUUCGGCCUUAGACGCUUAACACUUCUAGCUGUGUGACCCUGGGCAAGUUACUUAGUCCCAGUUGUCUCAGCAAAAAAAAAAAAGAAAGAAAAGGAAAGAAAAGAAAAAGAAAAAAAGAGAUAAUAUAUAGUAAUAUUUGUAUUACUUUGUAAAGGUUUGGGCCUGUUGUCAGUCUAAUAUUAGGCUAUAUGAUACUACCCAGAAUAUAUCAUCCACAAAUAUAUGAAGGAGUCAUUAUACAGAAGAUGGUGAUCAGCUGUUGUCCCUUCUCCCUUGAGAGCCAAACAGUGGGACAUGGACAUUAAUUGUAGCAUGAGGGAUUUGGGCUAAGUAUGAAAAAUAAUACCCGUUAAUUGAAAACAAUUUUAUGAUGAGUAUCUUAUUCUAUGAAUAAGAUCCCUUAUUCAAAGGAUCUAUGGUGAUUCCUUGAAAAAAUGCAGUGUGAUCUUUUAGAACAUUUAUGAAACACCUAUUAUGUGCAAAAACCAAAACCAAAAAAACCCAAAACACCAUAGGAAUAGCUGCAGGGAUUGCCAGGAAUUCAGAAAGUGAGACCGCCCUGGUGGAACACAUGUAAGUGUGAAACAUACAUAUCAAAUUAAGUGACGGACGAGAAAUGCCACAAAUAACAAAUUUUAACUGAUAAGACUAGGAAAUCAUUCCAUCAUGCCAAUAGCUUUUGGACUAUCAGGGAUGUUCUUUCCAGUUCACACAAGUUCCAAAUCUGAUUCCCUUUGCCAUCUUCUUGCUAUCCUUAUCCUUAUCCUGAGAGUUCUCAAAUAUUUGGCAUCUGUGCUGUGUUUUUUGAUCAAUGUGUCUGUCUGUCUGAGCACAGCUUCCACUUCCAGAUGAUGAGAUAGGAUUUGAAGUCUCUCUGAAAACCCUGAGGCAUCAGAGAAAUGCCAGUGAAAUCUCUAUGCUUAGGAACUAAUGACCUUCCCUGGUGAAGCUCAAACCGUUGAUUCUGAUUGAUUUAAUAGAAGGAUAGUUAGAUUAUGUACUAAGUCAAUGGAAUAAUUCUCAAAUUUCAUUCAGAUGACCUGAAAAGAUCCAUCCCUUCUUAUAUCUUUAGUUAUGGAAAAACCUAAAAGGCUAGUGCAGUAAGAGAAGCAUAGUUGCAUAGUAGGUUUCUUCACUGUACGGCAAUUAAAGGACCAUUGCACUGCUCAUUGUCGGCACUUUCAGAAAUUGUCAGUGUGUAACCAUUGACUUCAACCAUUUGAAGUGCUAUUGUGGAGGAUUAGGCUUGUUCUGCUUAGCUUUAGGGGGCAGAACUUAGAGGACCAAUAGGGAACAAUUAAAAGAAGGCAGAAUUUUUUUGGUGCCAUAUAACAAAGAACGCCUAAUGAUAAGAGCCUUCCAAAAUGGAAAUGGCUGCCCUUGAGUGGUAGUGCGCUCCCAGGGAUUGUGUUGUUUAAAUAGGACUUAGCAACCUACUUUCAGGGAUGUUGUUGAGGAAGAGUAUGUUUCAAGUAAUAGUUGGACUAAUUUAUCUCCCAUUUAAAAAUUAUAAUUGUUUUUAAUUAUAAUUCUCAUUAUCAAAUAGUUAUCACUCUGCCAUCUGCAUUCAUUCAUUCAUUCUAGGUGUUGCAUGUACACAUGUCCAGAGUGAGAUGGGGAGAGGGAAGGAAGAAUUUCUGAUUCUGAAUACUUUAUAUCAGUGUCUUAAGUUCUUGUCCUUUUGCAUUGAUUGGCCUUGCAUUGAUAGAAAUAUCAGAAUCUUAUUGUAUAGAGAAUUAAAUGAGAGGUCAAUUAAGUCUCAAAGAGGAACACUAAGUAAUGAGAAAGAGAAAGCUGUUUUUUCUAAGGGAGCAGACAUUUUAAUUAUUAGAAGGUAGAAGAUGUGAUAAAUUUAUUCUAAUAUUUAAAUAGUUCACAGUAUCCAGAGGAACACUACUUUUUUUUUAUUUAAUUUAAUUUUAUUUAAUAAUAACUUUGUAUUGACAGAAUCCAUGCCAGGGUAAUUUUUUACAACAUUAUCCGUUGCACUCGCUUAUGUUUCGUUUUUUCCCCUCCCUCCCUCCACCCCCCCCAAGAUGGCAAGCAGUCCUAUAUAUGUUAAAUAUAUUGCAGUAUAUCCUAGAUAUAAUACAUAUUUGCAGAACCAAACAGUUCUCCUGUUGCACAGGGAGAAUUGGAUUUAGAAGGUAAAAAUAACUCGGGAAGAAAAUCAAAAAUGCAAAUAGUUCACAUUCGUUUCCCAGUGUUCCUUCUUUGGGUGUAGCGAACACUACUUUCUGUGAGUUAAAAUUAGCCCUUAGGGUUAAUUCGGAUGAAAUAUAGAAUUCAGAGAAAUAAGGAAAUAACUGACAUAGAAUGGAUAAACCAAAGCAGAAAGUAAUUAUUAAUGAAAGAAAAUUCCUAAGAUUUCAAUCAGUAAUUGAAUAUACUCCUUUCUUUUGACAAGUAAUGAAAUAUUAUUAAGGUAAAAUGUUGUGUACACUUCCAGUGAGGUCAUGAUAUUAGUUUUGUUACAAAGGGGUAUUCAAUUCUGGAGGGUAGGGAAGAGGAAAGAAUAUAGGUAUCUCCAGAAAGGCCUAUGAUGUUUAAAAAAAAAAAGAAUAAUUUCAGUUGUCAGUGGAUGGAGAAACAAGUUUCCAGAAGAAUUAUGUAUUGUAGCACACUGCUACUAAUGCUUAAAACAUCAUUACUGUCUUGUGAGCUUCUGUUCACCAUAUUCAUCUUGUUCCUUUAUAUUUUGUGAGUUGCCUGUUUCCUUUCUCCCCUUUUGAAAAUUAUUCCAAUGAGUAUUGUGACAUAAGUAACACGACAUAGUGCAAAGCUUCUCCACUUAAUCUUUCCUCUUGUAUUUACUAUUUCUGUGGCUGAGGACAAGUCACUUAACUUAUCUUUCUUUCUGCCUCCUGUUUUCCUUAUCUGUUAAGUAAGGGUUGAUUAUAGAACUUGUUUCGCAAUGUUUCUGUCAUUGGCAUGAACUGACCUUUUUAAAAAGUUAUAUACAUAUGAUGACCAUGAUCUUCAAUCCCAAGAAGUUUAUAUUCUGUAAAGAGGACAAAGUAGUAUAGACUUUACCAUUGACAGAACUUUUAAGCCCUAAACAUCUAAAGUUCUCUUCAUAAUUCGACCAGUUUUUAAUCUGCAUCUCUUUGGAUGUCUUUAGAACUAACAGCAGUAUUUCUUCAUCAGUGUUGGAAAAGCCCAUUGAAACUUAGAGCAAACUCCAACAAGAGAUGCUGCUUCCCACUUUCAAAGCAUGGAUCAAGGAGGAAUCAUUAUUAGUUGAUCAUUCAAAACACUUUGAUAAAUGCCUACUUUUAGGUCAUUUCUGUGAGGGUAUACAGGAGCAAUUCCUUCCAUCAGGAAACUUAAAAAUCGAGAGAGAAACUUCUCACUUAAUCACACGGUUGGUACCAGAAAUUGGGUCUGAAAGCACUAAUAAAGUGGUCAGGAACUCUAAUGUAUGGCACUUGGUAGAAGAAGCUGUCUUCUAAAAUGAGGUUUUAGGCCAUUUCCUUGUUUUUCUUGUCUUUCCACAGAUGGUAUUUGAAAACCCAAGGAACAUCAGGAUCAGCUAUCCAGUUCUCAGAAAUUAAGUGUGUGAAAUCCAAAGGGCUUCAACCCAGUGUUCAUCUCAUCAAGAUCUUUGUGGACUCCAGUCCUGUCACCCUUUUCCUCAGCUUCAUGUCAUUCUCAAAUUUGAUAAAUAUGACACUUCUGCCUUCUUCAAACUCAUUGAUGUAUAUGUAUGUCCAAAGUCAAGGGCAAAGCCCUAUGCCAUUCCACUAGACAUUUCUCCACAUUGACAGUGAUCCAGUAGUCAGUCAUGUUUUCAGUUCUGAAACCACUUAACUACUAUUAUCCAAACCAAAUCUUCCUUUUGUCAAGGAAGAUAGCUCAAGACACAAUAGCCUAAGAAUGAACAAAGUACAAUAUAAACUGAAAUUCUUAUAGGAGCACUCUUGAUGUUAACAAGUGAAAACAAAGUUAAGAAUCCCAUGAUUCAGGAAUGGCUGAAAAAAGAUGAAACAUUUUUGAGAUAUCAAUAUAAUUGAAAAUUGUGCAAUAUGAAAUGAUGAAUAGAAAGAAUUCAAAGAAAUGAGAAGAUUUAUCUGAACUUGUAUGAAGUAUAAAGGAGAACUAAGAAAAAUAUAAACAGUGACUACAAAAAUUUAGUGACUUUGAAAAGGGGAAACAUGCACAUGAACAGAUCUCUAAAAGGAAAUUGAGCUCUUGAACAAUGGAAAAACCAGGGAAGAUUCUGGACAAGAGAUAAUGAAACACACCUCCUUUAUGGAUCAAAAAUGUGAAAGUCUGUCAGGACAGAAUAUGAAAUGUAUCUUCAGACACAAUCUCUGUGUCAAAUGUACUUUUAAAAUUGUAUUUACUGGUCACAAAGCACGGUUCAAUCUAGAGGGCUAUGUGGGAAACUGAUGUAAAGACAAAAAGCAUCAAUAAAAUGUAUUUUUACAAAAAAA